GUCUGAGGUACCGCAGACUGCACCGACUUUCCCUUUACCAAGUACCAGAAAUCGGGUUUAUUGCAGUUAUUUGUUUAUUUAUUUAUUUUAUACGGUUGUGAUUAGUUGUUCUGUUUGUGUGCGCGUCUGUAUUUUUAUUUAUUCGUUAUUUUUUUUAGAAUCAGUUCCAGGAACUGCUGAUGAAGGAGGACUGUGCAGACCCGCAUCGUGGAAGUCUAACCUACAAUAAUAAUUAUAAUAAUAAUUAUAAUAAUAAUAAUAAUAACAAUGCGACUCGAUUCUUCUUAAAGUGGUCGGUGUGAUUAUCUGGGUUUAUUAUAGAGGAUGCGAGGGGUCCAGUACUGAGAGACACGGAUACUGUUCCGGCUCUCUCUCUCUCUCUCUCUCUCUCUCUCUCUCUCUCUCUCUCUCUCUCUCUCUCUCUCACCAUUUCCUCAUGGAUUGAAUUUUACGACUGGGAAUAGACAUGGAUUAACAUGCCGAUGUUUGUUUAUCGGAGAUGUAAAUAAUUGCACUGGAGCACAUCGGAGGAUCAUUAUGGCUCUGGGGGCAGAUCAGAGGUUAAGGUUGCCUUGGGCUAAAAAAUGAGCCAUAGCAUAACCAUCUCUAGGAUUCAGGUUACGGGGGUUUGCUGCUAUUUCACAUAACAGCCAGAAAUGUGAGUAUUUGUAAUUGUUUUCUUCGGUAAUUUUAGUAAAUAAAGUGGUGGCACCUUGGUUAUCACUGCUUAGCCUAUUUGUUAUUUAUUAGCUUAAUGUUUGUUGUUAUUUACAUUAGUGUCAGUUAUUGUGCAAAUUAACAGGAGUCAGUCAAAACAUUAUGUUCAAGCACAUUCCAAAUGUCCAUAAUACAGAUCGACCGAUAGUGGAGUUUACCGAUGCCGAUAACCAAGUUGGGCAGAAGAGUUUUUCAAAUUGAUAUUUAAUGAAAACAUAACAUUCAAAAUAAAAACGUAUUCAUUUCAUUACAAAAUUAAACAGUACUGACUGUAC
ensembl:lncRNA